CAAAUUAUGGCGAACUUCGCGUUUCGCGAGGUUUUGCGUCCAAAUAUAUAUUUAAAACAUCCCACUCUUUAAAAAAAAAAAAUUAUCUAAUGAUAAAUAAAAGA
rnacentral:misc_RNA from 1 species